CAGCUCAAAAAGUACACAACCUACGGACAAGGGAAGCGGCAACAAUGCGGGAAAUUCGAAGGAAGAAAAAAAUUCCACCACGAGCACUGCUUCAUCGACCACACAGAAACCAAGCGGUGAUAAAAGCCUUGGCGGCCACACUAACAA